GGCCAUGGAAAGAGACGACUGGUUUGGACAUCGAGGUAAAUAUAUUGUUGUUUAAUGAUACUGUGAAACUAGAAGUACAAAUACUAACUCAUUUCUGACAUGAUAGGGCUUUCCACAGCAAAAGUAUGGCAUCGACUGUGGCAUCUUCAUGUUGAUGUAUGCCCUUUACAAAGUCAUGGAUGCACCCUUUGACUUCACUGUUACCGAUAUGCCAUCGUUGAGAAAAUGGUGGCGUAUCAUGCUGAUUGAAAGUCUUGACCUUGGAAGCCAUGGCAAACUCUUUGCCCACUGGACUGACACAUCUAAGGCUCUUCUUUGGGGUGAGGUGCCACCAGUUUUUAAACUGAAGAAGAGAAG